GACACAGACUCUACUUAGUGGUUAGGGGGGGGGUUAGAGGACCAAGGCGAGGAGCUUCUCCAAUGUGGAGGACGCCGACAGAGCAGCCUGACAAGGAGUGUGACGGCGGGAGACGUCAGAAAAGCCCCCCUGUCGCCACGGCAUAGGAGUUUCUACGGACGGAGACAAAAGGCAAGGACUGAGGAGAGAGGAACAGAGAUCUCCACAUCUAAGCAUCUCUUAGUCCCCCUAGCCAGUGGGUGACACAGACGUGAGGGUUUGUGUUGUCAAGGAAUUCAAAGGAAGUGAGGAGCGCGGGUCCAGAGGAGGGACUAUUUUUUUUUUCUUCCAGAUCCUAUUCUAAUCUGGAAUUUCAGGCAGGAAUCCCAGGUUUUUUGGGUUGUUUUUUUUUUUUUUUACAGCAUGGAUGAAUUUAAAGAGGAGGAGUAAGUCAUCCAAACCCUGCCUCGGUCCUCCUGAAGUCAUUGCUAAGACUCGUACACCGUCGUGAGCUGCAGACCCCCGGCCUUAGAAUGUCCUGGUUGUUGGCCAUGUGGGUCAGCCUCAGCUUCCUGCUGCUGCUGUGCCAGGCCUCACUCUACCAGACCAUCCAGCAGCACCACGUGGCCCGUCCCGGUCGCACCGACAUCCUCACCCUGGAGGGAGGUACGUGUGAGGUGAUCGCAGCCCACAGAUGCUGUAACAAGAAUCGCAUCGAGGAACGCUCUCAGACCGUCAAGUGCUCCUGUUUACCAGGCAAAGUGGCUGGAACAACACGCAACAAACCUUCUUGUGUGGACGCAUCCAUCGUAAUUGGGAAAUGGUGGUGUGAGAUGGAACCGUGUCUGGAGGGAGAAGAGUGCAAGACUCUGCCUGACAAUUCCGGAUGGAUGUGCUCGUCUGGAAAUAAAGUCAAGACCACGAGGAACACCCAGCCAUACUCCCCUUUUUAGCUUCCGGAAGCAAAAUGCAGAGGAAACGUCAACCGAAAUUGAGCUGCAUUCUUGCUUCUGUAAAAGAUUAAUCCGAGGACCUAACAGCGAGCUCUCAUCACAGGACCAGCCCCGUGCCAGCCCCUUCCUCUCAUCUACCCUUUCUCUUCUCGACAAACGGCGUGAAACUAUCACAUCCACGGCUGCCGACUGUAUUACCUGGGACCACAGAAAGGAUAUCCACCUCGAUAAAACAGCUUUGCCCGUGUGGCGCCAAGGAUUUAAAAACCCGCCGCUAAUCCCCUGUUUGAUCAAGGAUGUGGGAUGUCGGUGAAGCUCCUCUUCCACGCAGCUGUGGCCAGUUUCCGUCCGAAUCCCUCGCGCUCUGCCCCUCACUCGGUGUGUUCCUCAAAAACUGAUGCAGCUCGCCAGGAGGCUCAUUUGGAGGUUCUUUGGACGUUUGUCAAAAAAAAGGAGGACCUGAACUUGGAACAAAGAGCAUAAAAGGCGAGACAUUGCCCCGAUAUCCUUGUAUUCCUGUACGGAUCGCUGCCUUUGUGUUACAAGAUUACAAGAUGGCUUUGCAAGGACUAUGUAGGUGUGAGAACAAAAAUAAGCACCCUUGUGUGUGUGUUUGUGAGGCUUGAAGGACUUCUAUUACGGCCUCACCUUUGUGGUCAAUAACGAACAUUGGAUUUGACUUCUUCACUUCGAAGACAUGUACAAUGAGCAGUGCUACUUUUCUUUCUGUGUAAGAACACCCGCGUGUAUAUAAUUCUAUAAGUAAAAGACAAAAUAUUACGGCAGAUCCGCAAAGCAUAUUUAAGACUCUACUUACCGCAUUUUUCGGAGUAUAAGUCGCACCUGCCGAAAAUGCAUAAUAAAGAAGGAAAAAAACAUAUAUAAGUCGCACUGGAGCCCGGCCAAACUAUGAAAAAAACUGCGACUUAUAGUCCGAAAAAUACGGUAUUAGGAGCUUAAACCAUACUUGCCAACCUUGAGAGCUCCGAU